GAGCACGUAGGUGGGUUUGUAAGUCAGAUGUGAAAGCCUUCUGUUCAACGGGAGAAUUGCAUCUGAAACUACAGACCUUGAGUAUAGGAGGGGAGAGUGGAACUUCUGGUGGAGCGGUGAAAUGCGUAGAUAUCAGAAGGAACGCCGGCGGCGAAAGCGAUUCUCUGGCCUAUUACUGACACUCAGUGUGCGAAAGCUAGGGGAGCAAACGGGAUUAGAUACCCCGGUAGUCCUAGCCGUAAACGAUGGGCACUAAGUAGAGGGGUUUU
rnacentral:rRNA from 1 species